UUCCCUGUUGUGUUUGUAUAACAGAAAAGCCAGGAGUGUGUCCAAGGAGAUUCCUUGGAGUAGGUUUGUGUAAAAAGUUGUGUGUCAAUGACAUUGACUGUCCAAAUGAUGAGAAAUGCUGCAGCACUAAAUGUGGACGUGAAUGUACACCUCCAUUUAAAGUGAGGCCUGAUCCAUGUCUCAAACCAAAUGUGUGCUGAUAACUCUUCCCAUGAUGAUCAGUAUCCUGCCAGACAGAAGUGUUGCCCAACCACCUGUGCAUGCAUGCAGCUAACCAUGCCAGUUUAACCAUUGGGAACUUUAUUUGAGGUCUAUGUUCACCAAAUAAAUCUUGUUUAGCAAGA